rfam:Paenibacillus alvei DSM 29 PAV_1c, whole genome shotgun sequence.
GAUAAACCGAAUAUUGUUGCUCGUAUAAUUCCGGGAAUAUGGCCGGAAGUUUCUACCCAAGAACCGUAAAUUUUUGGACUACGAGAAUGACGAACAGGCAG